AGUUAAACAGUACGUGAAAUUGUUGAAAGGGAAACGAUUGAAGUCAGUCAUACCAACGGGAAAUCAACCUUUUGAGCUUGGUCUCGUGGGUUUGAAGAGUUUCAAAGCCUUCGGAUUCGCGGGAUUGGGAUCUCUUGGUGUACUUUUUCGUACGGUUAGUCAACAUCGGUUUUGAAUGUCAUAAAAUGACUGGAGGAAUGUAGCUUCGAUCUCGUAUUGAAGUGUUAUAGCCUUUGGUAGAUGUGAUGUUUGAGACCGAGGAUUGCAACGGAUACCCUUCAGGGCUAUUCGUCUGAUCUCUGAUACGUUGCCUUGAUGUUGAAAGCUUGCUUAUGAUGUUAGGGUAUUACGGUCAAAAGGUUAGAACGAAUUACAUUCGUUAAGGAUGUUGACGUAAUGACUUUAAA
rnacentral:misc_RNA from 1 species